GACGAACGCUGGCGGCGUGCUUAACACAUGCAAGUCGAACGAAGUGGCGAACGGGUGAGUAACGCGUAAUCAACCUGCCCUUCAGAGGGGGACAACAGUUGGAAACGACUGCUAAUACCGCAUACUGAAGGAGGGGAUUGCGUCUGAGUAGCUAGUUGGAGGGGUAACGGCCCAUCAAGGCGAUGAUAAGUAGACGGUCUGAGAGGAUGACCAGCCACAUUGGGACUGAGACACGGCCCAGACUCCUACGGGAGGCAGCAGUAGGGAAUCUUCGGCAAUGGACGAAAGUCUUACCGAGCCAAGCCGCGUGAGUGAAGAAGUUUUUCGGAUCUUAAAACACUUUAAUUAGAGAAGCGGUAUAUAACCAGAAAGCCACGGCUAACUACGUGCCAGCAGCCGCGGUAAUUC
rnacentral:rRNA from 1 species